rnacentral:sRNA from 19 species
UGGGCUGUUCGAAAGAUCUGGGUUCAACCUAAUCGGCGGGGAGACUCCCC